rnacentral:lncRNA from 1 species
ACUCCAUCCUAUACCAAAGGAAAGUGGAAAGCCCUGGUCAAGAAGCAUUAGAAAAAUCUGGUACCUGAAAGGAUAUUUAUCAUUAGGAAUAUUGGAAAAGACAGAAAAAGCCACCUCUACUUCAUGUGUCUUAAAACUGUGUGCUACCAAGAUGUACUCUUGGAAGAAGGAGAGACAGAAAAAAAAUCCACGGCUUACCAUUUAAGAGAGCUGUCUGCUCUUCCUGAAGGACUCGGGUUCCAUUCCCAGCACCAUAUAGUAUCUCACAACCAUCUAUAACUCCAGUUCUAAGGGACCCAUGCCCUUUUCUGGCCUCUGCAGGUACCAGACAUGCACAUGUCGCACAAUAUGCAGACACACACAUAAUAAAGUUAAAAUAAAAAUA